GGGUGACUUGCUCCUAGCGGGGCAGUAGCUGAGUCAGCCUUGUGCCAGACACUUGAGCAAGAUCUCCAGAUUGAGUGCUGGUCCUGCCGUUCGGAGUUCCGUGAGACAGAGUCACUUCCCCACUGUAGUCUCAGUUACCUCAUCUGCCACGACCAGACUCCUGAACUCUGUGGCACAGGAACUGCCCAGUGGCAGGGGUCGCCUCAGCCCGGCGGCAGGGGCUGCUUCAGGAGUCUGGCUUACUCCGGUGCACAGCAGCUCUCUGAGGCAGGGUGAGCGUUCCAGGAAAGGCAAACAGAGAGCCUGUGUUCGGUACUGGUGCCUCCUGGAGCUACAAGGCUGGCUUUCAACCUGA
rnacentral:lncRNA from 1 species